GGAUUGUGGCUCAGUGGUAGAGCGCUCGCCUAGCACAGGCAGGACCUGGGUUCGAUCCUCAGCACCA
rnacentral:tRNA from 1 species